rnacentral:rRNA from 1 species
CAGUCGCCGCGGGAAUACGUAGGGUGCAAGCGUUAAUCGGAAUUACUGGGCGUAAAGCGUGCGCAGGCGGUUAGAUAAGCCAGAUGUGAAAUCCCCGAGCUCAACUUGGGAACUGCGUUUGGAACUGUUUAACUAGAGUGCGUCAGAGGGGGGUGGAAUUCCGCGUGUAGCAGUGAAAUGCGUAGAGAUGCGGAGGAACACCGAUGGCGAAGGCAGCCCCCUGGUCUGUAACUGACGCUGAGGAGCGAAAGCGUGGGGAGCGAACAGGAUUAGAUACCCCCGUAGUCCCUGUCUCUUAUAC